AAUGUUCUCAUUUCAUGGAGUUUCAUGUGACUUUUAUUAACAUUUGGUCUUUAAUUUGGUGAAAUUCCAUUUGUAAUAUAUCUUUCCCAUGAAUAUGAUUUAAAUCAAUUUCUUCAGGUUUCACUGACAUAAAACUUCAAGGAGAAGUUUGCUAAUGCUUGCUCUGUUCUGAAAUACAGUGAUCAGGACAACAGGAGCUAAAGAAGAAUUUCUAAAGAAAUUCUUUAGAAGCCUCAUAUGCAGAGUAUGUUCAAAAAGCAAAUACCCAAAUGCUCCAUACUCAACACCUGGGGAAAAAAAUCAUGGCAAAGUCCCUCAAGGUGCAGAGAACAAAAUCUUUUGCUUAUUCAAGAGAAAUUUAAAACAGUGGAGCCUUUACCCUCCAUUGUUCAGUAAUUCUGAAUAACUCCUAUUUGUUACAAAUGUGAUUUUUUGCUAGGGCCUUCAAAUACUGUGAAAAUAAAAAUCAUAAAUAUAGGUGCAAUAAUCUCACAUAGCAACAGGAUGGAUCUUCAGUAAGCUUCAACAUGAGAUUAUCCAGAAGCAUAAAAAUAAAUGAAUAUUCAUACUCAGUAAAUCAAAUCAGGCUUGUAUGUUGCAGAAAGAAUUGGAUCUAAAGCAUUUGGGAAAAAAAAAUGGACGAAAUAGCUUUAUAAGGAACUGAAAGGGGGUCAACAGAAAAAAUAAGUAGAGAUGAUUAGAGGAGAACAGGUAAAAUUUCUGUGGAAGGCCAACCAGAAUAGAGAAGGAAUAAUCAGUUCAUAAAUUCAAUUUAACAGUUUUUAGUUAAAACCUAAAUUAUGCUGUUUAAGGGCUUUCAGAUGGUCCCACAGGAUAGCAAUUUCUUUCUUUCUCCUUGCAUAACUGCAGUCCACUCUCCCUAGGCUGCAAUUCCCUGGUUCUGACAUGAGCAGCAGCCCAGAUCUCCAGCACAAUCCAACAGAGCAACUGUUCUUAAGAUCAGAAGGAACAAAGGAAUUCAUGUCAGUGACUCAUUGAGAACUGUUCUCCACAGCUGCUGGAAGAGCAGCAACCCAUCCAUUCCCUGACACAGGUUUUUCUGCACCAGCCUGGAACUGACUGAGCAGAAGCACUGAGAGGCAUCACAAUUCCCAUCACUAUAGUGAGCAAAGGUACUGAAGGAGCUGCCAGGAGAGUAAGGAAAAGAACAUUCAGCAAGUAAGCAAAAUGACCGAGAGCUGAAAGAGGAGCACCCGUUUUCCUUUCAAAGUACCCUGUCUUGGAAUUUCCUGGGAUCCCUCCUGGAAACCGAAGUGAACUCCAAAGGACAAGGUUCCCCAGCUAUCUGAUGCUCUCUGUGGAUGUUGAGCUGUGUAGUUCAGCCUGCUGCACUGAGUGGGCUGAUAUUUAUUUCUCCCUUUUCUUUAAACUGACUAAAUGAAUUAGGGUUCAAACUGUAUAUUUGCUCUAGAAUUUAAUCUAAUUCCACUCUCAUUGCAGCACAACAUUUUAACAUAAAAUAAAAUAGUAAACUCAA